UCUCGAUCCGAUCUCUCUCCCGAAUUUUUUUUGCCAACGCCGGCCUCCUCUUUCAUCUCCCAUGGCGGAGACUCCCCAUGGCGACCAUAGGAAAGGGUAGGUAGAUCCAUCUCGCCCACUUCUUCCUGCCGUCGUCAUCGUCCUCCACUCGACCAUGCUAGCUUCCGCGAUUUGGAUGCCUCCCCUACGAGGAAUACUCAUCGCAGGUGGCGGCGGCCGUUGGCAAGGGCUCAUUUGGAAGAGCAGGUGGCGUACAAGGUCGCGUCGAGGUCCAACGACCGGAGUAUCAGCUCCGUAGAGGACGCCGUCCCAGGACUCGAAGAAUUCCAAGAAAGAUCAUUGCUUCAAGGUUGGCAGCGGCCACAACGUAAUUGACAUCAAAACUAGAUCUUGGUCCUACAUAUCCGGUCUUGCUCGGUGAUAUUUCUUUUUUCCAUUCCGUUAUAUACCUACGUAUAUGAUUGGUUUGCUACAUGAGGUAGUGACGAAAUCAACAAUACUAGCUACUAGCCAACAAUAUGUGUUUACGACUCUCAUCACAGAGUGAUUAAUCAUAGUAAACUAUGUGCCAGCUUAUGUGAGUCCAAUCGAUCUAUCUUUUACUGGCAUUACCCAUUGUGUAGAUUAGGAUUACCACACCAACCUUCAUAGACUCCUAAAACUAUCCUAGGAUUAUCAGUUUCUCAAACAAUUGAAGUUGCAGCCUAUGUGAAAUCUUUAUUUCCUGAUAUGGUAGCAGUACCUAAUUUUCUUUAUUUUAUGAAUCACAGUCUAAAGGCUCAGAAGCAGUUGAUCAUUACCUGUCACAGUAUACAAAACACAUAUCUAAUAUUGGGGAAAAUGUAUGUAUUUUCUCGAGCAGCUAUGUGGAUAUAGGUCUUGCUGAAAAUUUGUAACUGAGCUUGUAAUCUUAACAAUUGUUGUCAAACAGUCAGCUGAUAUGUUCAUAUGUGAAUCAUCCACCCAAUUAGCUAUAAUGCUUUCCAAGGCCAGUACCAUACCAACAUUGGAUCCAAAAGAGCAUGUGGUAACAUCAAAUGCCAAAUUGGACACAUACAUACGGUAUGAAAAUUUACGGAGAAGACAAGGACCCAUCACUCCAGAGUCUAGGAAAGUUGGGCAAAUGUAAUCUUUUUAUGGAAAAAUGCAAAACCUGUCAGCCAUCAACCCUAGCAGAGGGGCAAGCGCUCUUUAUCUCUAAUGUAUAAUCCUUUUAUUUGGCGUUGUUGCCAUGCCGCUAUAGCUGGUCUUUUGCUUUCUCCUUUUCCUGUAGCCAGUUGUACUUGGUUUUCUCUAUCCUCAUAUCAAUGAAAAUGCAGCAUUGAUUAUGCUUCGUCAAGAACAUGCUCCGUUCUGAGCGCUUCAAGUAGAUCUUAGUUAAUACUCCCUCCGAUCUAUAAUAAGGUUUGAACUAAAACCAGGACACUUAUUAUGGAUCAUAGGGAGUACAACAUAAUCAGAUAGAUGCUUGUUGUAUGGGUAUGCCAUGUCUAACUAUAUUAUUCUAUGAGUACAUUUCAAGUGAAAAUCAAAUUUAUUGUUUUUGGAA